UACAGCGGUCUCAAGCGUUGUUCGGAUUCAUUGGGCGUAAAGGGUGCGUAGGUGGCGCUGUACGUCGGGUGUGAAAUUUCGGAGCUUAACUCCGAAACUGCAUUCGAUACUGCGGUGCUUGAGGACUGGAGAGGAGACUGGAAUUCAUGGUGUAGCAGUGAAAUGCGCAGAUAUCGGGAGGAACACCUAUGGCGAAGGCAGCUCGCUGGGACGUUACUGACGCUGAGACGCGAAAGCGUGGGGAGCAAACAGG
rnacentral:rRNA from 1 species